rnacentral:rRNA from 1 species
UACAGAGGGUGCGAGCGUUGUCCGGAAUCACUGGGCGUAAAGGGCGCGUAGGCGGCGCGGUAAGCGUGCGGUGAAAGCCCGGGGCUCAACCCCGGGUCGGCCGUGCGGACUGCCGGGCUGGAGCACUGUAGAGGCAGGUGGAAUUCCGGGUGUAGCGGUGGAAUGCGUAGAGAUCCGGAAGAACACCAGUGGCGAAAGCGACUUUCUGGUCCUUAACUGACGCUGAGGCGCGAAAGCAUGGGGAGCGAACGGG